UACGGGGGGGGCAAGCGUUGUUCGGAAUUACUGGGCGGAAAGGGCUCGUAGGCGGCCAACUAAGUCGGAUGUGAAAUCCCCAGGCUCAACUUGGGAACUGCAUCCGAUACUGGAUGGCUUGAAUUCGGGAGAGGGAUGCAGAAUUCCAGGUGUAGCGGUGAAAUGCGUAGAUAUCUGGAGGAAUACCGGUGGCGAAGGCGGCAUCCUGGACCGACAUUGACGCUGAGGAGCGAAAGCGUGGGGAGCAAACAGG
rnacentral:rRNA from 1 species